rnacentral:tRNA from 1 species
GCCCGGCUGGCCCAACUGGCAGAGGCGCCACGCUCAGACCGUGGAGGUUCGGGGUUCGAAUCCCUGGCCGGGUAC